rnacentral:rRNA from 1 species
UACAGAGGGUGCGAGCGUUAAUCGGAAUUACUGGGCGUAAAGCGCGCGUAGGCGGCUUUGCAAGUCGGGUGUGAAAUCCCCAGGCUUAACCUGGGAACUGCAUUCGAGACUGCAUUGCUAGAGUAUGGGAGAGGGAAGUGGAAUUUCCGGUGUAGCGGUGAAAUGCGUAGAUAUCGGAAGGAACAUCAGUGGCGAAGGCGGCUCACUGGCCCGGUACUGACGCUGAGGCGCGAAAGCCAGGGGAGCAAACGGG